AUCGGCGGUGGCGCUGCUUGCGGACUUCAUACCCGCGGCGGGCAAGG
rnacentral:tRNA from 1 species